GUUAAGGUGGCAGAGCCCGGUAAAUGCGCAAGACUUAAGACCUUGAAUUCAGAAGUUCAAAUCCUCUCCUUAACA
rnacentral:tRNA from 1 species